rnacentral:rRNA from 1 species
AUGGAUGGGUUCAUCACAGGGACUCGUCAUGGCGCGCUUCAUCAACACCAAGAGGAGACCCCUUCAUCUUCAUGGCCGGCCCUCAAGCAAAGCAAAGGGAGGGGAUCGAAAUCGUCCAUGGACGGACGCGCUGAUGGGGACCUGAUGGAGACAGAGAAGGACCACGAGGAGGUGGCGUGGGUCGACCCUGGCGGUUGGCUCCUCCUCCAGAACCACGUGGUAGGAGAGGAGGCACAAGGACUGCUUCUUCUCAGGAUGCCGCAUCCAGGGAGCUCCGACCCUACCGCCGCUGUCAUCCAUGGAGCUCUGACCCAUGGCCAAGAACUCAAGACAUAG